CCUACGGGCGGCAGCAGUGGGGAAUAUUGGGCAAUGGGCGCAAGCCUGACCCAGCAACGCCGCGUGAAGGAAGAAGGCUUUCGGGUUGUAAACUUCUUUUCUCAGGGACGAAGCAAGUGACGGUACCUGAGGAAUAAGCCACGGCGAACUACGUGCCAGCAGCCGCGGUAAGACGUAGGUGGCAAGCGUUAUCCGGAUUUACUGGGUGUAAAGGGCGUGUAGGCGGGACUGCAAGUCAGAUGUGAAAACCACGGGCUCAACCUGUGGCCUGCAUUUGAAACUGUAGUUCUUGAGUACUGGAGAGGCAGGCGGAAUUCCUAGUGUAGCGGUGAAAUGCGUAGAUAUUAGGAGGAACAACAGUGGCGAAGGCGGUCUGCUGGACAGCAACUGACGCUGAGGCGCGAAAGCGUGGGGAGCAAACAGGAUUAGAUACCCCUGUAGUC
rnacentral:rRNA from 1 species